ACCCUCCAAGGCUAAAUACUACCUAGUGACCGAUAGCGUAUAGUACCGUGAGGGAAAGGUGAAAAGAACCCCGGGAGGGGAGUGAAAUAGAACCUGAAACCCUGCACUUACAAGCUGUGGAAGCACAGUUCUUGUGUGACCGCGUACUUUUUGUAGAACGGGCCAACGAGUUACGUUAAGUAGCAAGGUUAAGCACUUAAGGUGCGGAGCCGUAGCGAAAGCGAGUUUUAACUGAGCGGUCAGUUACUUGACGUAGACCCGAAACCGGGCGACCUACCCAUGAGCAGGAUGAAGCGAAAGUAAAAUUUCGUGGAGGUCCGAACCCACGAGCGUUGAAAAGCUCGGGGAUGACUUGUGGGUAGCGGUGAAAUUCCAAUCGAGCCCGGAGAUAGCUGGUUCUCCCCGAAAUAGCUUUAGGGCUAGCCUCAAGGUGAGAGAUACGGA
rnacentral:rRNA from 1 species